GAGGGUAUAGCUCUGUGGUGGAGCAUGUGCUUAGCAUGCACAAGGUCCUGGGUUCAAUCCCCAGUACCUCCA
rnacentral:tRNA from 1 species